CCAGCGUUGGUGUAGUCCGGCCAAUCAUGCGGUCCAGGCCAGCCGAUGACCUGGGUUCAAAUCCCAGACGGAGCA
rnacentral:tRNA from 1 species